AUUGAACGCUGGCGGCAUGCUUUACACAUGCAAGUCGAACGGCAGCACGGACUUCGGUCUGGUGGCGAGUGGCGAACGGGUGAGUAAUACAUCGGAACGUACCCAGUAAUGGGGGAUAACUAUCCGAAAGGAUAGCUAAUACCGCAUACGCCCUACGGGGGAAAGAGGGGGAUCGCAAGACCUCUUGUUAUUGGAGCGGCCGAUGGCUGAUUAGCUAGUUGGUGAGGUAAAGGCUCACCAAGGCGACGAUCAGUAGCGGGUCUUAGAGGACGAUCCGCCACACUGGAACUGAGACACGGUCCAGACUCCUACGGGAGGCAGCAGUGGGGAAUCUUGGACAAUGGGCGCAAGCCUGAUCCAGCAAUGCCGCGUGCGUGAAGAAGGCCUUCGGGUUGUAAAGCGCUUUUGUCAGGGAGCAAAUCCUUGUGGCUAAUACCCACCGGGGAUGAGAGUACCUGAAGAAUAAGGACCGGCUAACUACGUGCCAGCCGCCGCCGUAA
rnacentral:rRNA from 1 species